rnacentral:rRNA from 1 species
UACGUAGGGGCCCAGCGUUGUCCGGAAUCAUUGGGCGUAAAGCGCGCGUAGGCGGCCAGACAAGUCUGGUGUGAAAGUCACAGGCUCAACCUGUGAAUGCCGCUGGAAACUGUCUGGCUAGAGUCCGGAAGGGGCGAGUGGAAUUCCUGGUGUAGCGGUGAAAUGCGCAGAUAUCAGGAGGAACACCAAUGGCGAAGGCAGCUCGCUGGGACGGUACUGACGCUGAGGAACGAAAGCUAGGGGAGCAAACAGG